rnacentral:rRNA from 1 species
AGAGUUUGAUUAUGGCUCAGGAUGAACGCUGGCGGCAUGCCUAAUACAUGCAAGUCGAACGAGAGGAAGGAAAGCUUGCUUUUCUGAAUCUAGUGGCGACCGGGUGAGUAACACGUAGGUAACCUGCCCAUGUGCCCGGGAUAACUUCUGGAAACGGAUGCUAAAACCGGAUAGGUAGCAGACAAGCAUUUGACUGCUAUUAAAGUGGCCUUGGCCAUGAACAUGGAUGGACCUGCGGUGCAUUAGCUGGUUGGUGAGGUAACGGCCCACCAAGGCGACGAUGCAUAGCCGGCCUGAGAGGGCGGACGGCCACAUUGGGACUGAGACACGGCCCAAACUCCUACGGGAGGCAGCAGUAGGGAAUUUUCGUCAAUGGGGGGAACCCUGAACGAGCAAUGCCGCGUGAGUGAGGAAGGUCUUCGGAUCGUAAAGCUCUGUUGUAAGAGAAAAACGGCACUCAUAGGGAAUGAUGAGUGAGUGAUGGUAUCUUACCAGAAAGUCACGGCUAACUACGUGCCAGCAGCCGCGGUAAUACGUAGGUGGCGAGCGUUAUCCGGAAUGAUUGGGCGUAAAGGGUGCGUAGGUGGCAGAUCAAGUCUGGAGUAAAAGGUAUAGGCUCAACCCGUACUGGCUCUGGAAACUGAUCAGCUAGAGAACAGAAGAGGACGGCGGAACUCCAUGUGUAGCGGUG